rnacentral:tRNA from 1 species
GCCCGUGUAGCUCAGCAGGCAGAGCAUCCCGCUGGUAAUGGGAAGGUCGUCGGUUCGAAUCCGACCGCGGGCUCCA